GAUGAACGCUGGCGGCGUGCCUAAUACAUGCAAGUCGAGCGAACAGACGAGGAGCUUGCUCCUCUGACGUUAGCGGCGGACGGGUGAGUAACACGUGGAUAACCUACCUAUAAUACUGGGAUAACUUCGGGAAACCGGCUCUAAUACCGGAUAAUAUAUUGAACCGCAUGGUUCAAUAGUGAAAGUCGGUUUUGCUGUCACUUAUCGAUGGAUCCGCGCCGCAUUAGCUAGUUGGUAAGGUAACAGCUUACCAAGGCGACGAUGCGUAGCCGACCUGAGAGAGGGAUCGGCCGCACUAGAGCUGAGACGCGGUCCAGGCGCCUACGGGAGGCAGCAGUAGGGAAUCGGCCGCAAUAGGCGAAAGCCUGACGGAGCAACGGCGCGUGAGUGAUGGAGGUCUUCGGAUCGUAAAACUCUGUUACUAGGGAAGAACAGAUGUGGAAGUAAAUAUGCACGUCUUGACGGUAACUAAUCAGAAAGCAACGGCUAACUACGUG
rnacentral:rRNA from 1 species